UACAGAGGGGGCAAGCGUUGUUCGGAAUUACUGGGCGUAAAGAGCUCGUAGGCGGUUUGUCGCGUCGGGAGUGAAAACACCGGGCUUAACUCGGUGCUUGCUUUCGAUACGGGCAGACUGGAGGUAUGCAGGGGAGAACGGAAUUCCCGGUGUAGUGGUGAAAUGCGUAGAUAUCGGGAGGAACACCAGUGGCGAAGGCGACUACCUGGCCCAUUCUUGACGCUGAGGCGCGAAAGCUAGGGGAGCGAACGGG
rnacentral:rRNA from 1 species